AAUAGAUACCCUGGUAGUCCACGCCGUAAACGAUGUCGACUUGGAGGUUGUUCCCUUGAGGAGUGGCUUCCGGAGCUAACGCGUUAAGUCGACCGCCUGGGGAGUACGGCCGCAAGGUUAAAACUCAAAUGAAUUGACGGGGGCCCGCACAAGCGGUGGAGCAUGUGGUUUAAUUCGAUGCAACGCGAAGAACCUUACCUACUCUUGACAUCCAGAGAACUUAGCAGAGAUGCUUUGGUGCCUUCGGGAACUCUGAGACAGGUGCUGCAUGGCUGUCGUCAGCUCGUGUUGUGAAAUGUUGGGUUAAGUCCCGCAACGAGCGCAACCCUUAUCCUUUGUUGCCAGCGGUUCGGCCGGGAACUCAAAGGAGACUGCCAGUGAUAAACUGGAGGAAGGUGGGGAUGACGUCAAGUCAUCAUGGCCCUUACGAGUAGGGCUACACACGUGCUACAAUGGCGUAUACAAAGAGAAGCGACCUCGCGAAAGCAAGCGGACCUCAUAAAGUACGUCGUAGUCCGGAUUGGAGU
rnacentral:rRNA from 1 species